rnacentral:rRNA from 1 species
GACGUAGGAUGCGAGCGUUGUCCGGAUUCAUUGGGCGUAAAGAGUUCGUAGGCGGUUUGUUAAGUCUGAUGUUAAAGAUCGGGGCUCAACCCUGGGAGUGCAUUGGAUACUGGCAGACUGGAGUGCAGUAGAGGCGAGUGGAAUUCCCAGUGUAGCGGUGAAAUGCGUAGAGAUGUGGAGGAACACCGAUGGCGAAGGCAGCCUUCUGGGCCAACACUGACGCUCAUGCACGAAAGCGUGGGGAGCAAACAGG